rnacentral:rRNA from 1 species
GAGGAAUAUUGGACAAUGGGUGCAAGCCUGAUCCAGCCAUCCCGCGUGAAGGAUUAAGGUCCUAUGGAUUGUAAACUUCUUUUAUACAGGGAUAAACCUCUCCUCGUGAGGAGAGCUGAAGGUACUGUAUGAAUAAGCACCGGCUAACUCCGUGCCAGCAGCCGCGGUAAUACGGAGGGUGCAAGCGUUAUCCGGAUUUAUUGGGUUUAAAGGGUCCGUAGGCGGGCCGAUAAGUCAGUGGUGAAAUCUCGCAGCUUAACUGUGAAACUGCCAUUGAUACUGUUGGUCUUGAGUAAAUUUGAAGUGGCUGGAAUAAGUAGUGUAGCGGUGAAAUGCAUAGAUAUUACUUAGAACACCAAUUGCGAAGGCAGGUCACUAAGAUUUAACUGACGCUGAUGGACGAAAGCGUGGGUAGCGAAC